CGACCUCGCGAGAGCAAGCGGACCUCAUAAAGUAUGUCGUAGUCCGGAUUGGAGUCUGCAACUCGACUCCAUGAAGUCGGAAUCGCUAGUAAUCGUAGAUCAGAAUGCUACGGUGAAUACGUUCCCGGGCCUUGUACACACCGCCCGUCACACCAUGGGAGUGGGUUGCAAAAGAAGUAGGUAGCUUAACCUUCGGGAGGGCGCUUACCACUUUGUGAUUCAUGACUGGGGUGAAGUCGUAACAAGGUAACCGUAGGGGAACCUGCGGUUGGAUCACCUCCUUA
rnacentral:rRNA from 1 species